AGAGUUUGAUCCUGGCUCAGAUUGAACGCUGGCGGCGUGCCUAACACAUGCAAGUCGAGCGGUAACAGGUGUAGCAAUACAUGCUGACGAGCGGCGAACGGGUGAGUAAUGCUUUGGAAUCUUCCCAGUAGUGGGGAAUAACCAGUCGAAAGAUUGGCUAAUACCGCAUACGUCUGUGAAGAGAAAGCGGGGGAUCGCCUCUUCUUCGGAAGAGCGGCCUCGCGCUAUUGGAUGAGCCAAAGUCGGAUUAGCUAGUUGGUGGGGUAAUGGCCUACCAAGGCGACAAUCCGUAGCUGGUCUGAGAGGACGACCAGCCACACCGGAACUGAGACACGGUCCGGACUCCUACGGGAGGCAGCAGUGGGGAAUAUUGGACAAUGGGGGAAACCCUGAUCCAGCGACGCCGCGUGUGUGAAGAAGGCCUGCGGAUUGUAAAGCACUUUUAGUGGGGACAAAAAGUCACGGGUUAACACCCUGUGAUCUUGAUUUAACUCACAGAAAAAGCACCGGCUAACUCUGUGCCAGCAGCCGCGGUAAUACAGAGGGUGCAAGCGUUAAUCGGAAUUACUGGGCGUAAAGCGCGCGUAGACGGUUUGGUAAGUCAGAUGUGAAAUCCCCGGGCUCAACCUGGGAACUGCAUUUGAUACUGCCUGGCUAGAGUAUGGAAGAGGGAAGUGGAAUUUCCGGUGUAGCGGUGAAAUGCGUAGAUAUCGGAAGGAACACCAGUGGCGAAAGCGACUUCCUGGUCCAAUACUGACGUUCAUGUGCGAAAGCAUGGGGAGCAAACAGGAUUAGAUACCCUAGUAGUCC
rnacentral:rRNA from 1 species